GGAAAUUAAUCAAGAUCAGGUAAAAGCACCAAAAAUAAAAACUGUCCCUCUAUAUAAUUGUUAAUAAUUUGAAACAGCAAAAAAUGUUGUAUUGGGAGUCCAUUUGCAGGUCACACCAGUACCUGGAGAAGCAUAUAGAGCAGAAAUGGAGUACAUGAGUGUUCCUUUCACCGCUAAGAAACUUGUGAUAUCAAUUGCACUUAUUUUGCUAAUCGUCUCGCCUGUUUCAGAGUCCGUGAGUUCACAGAAAUUUAAGUUACCAACGUGUUACGGAAAAUGUGCAGACCUCCCAACUGACUGUGAUGCGUUUUGCAGAGCCAAAAUGGCUAAAGGAGGAGUUUGCUUUCCACCAUCGAAAUUCUGUUGCUGUUUCUAUUAAUCAAACUGUCAUCUGACAAGAUUUAUGUAUCGAAGCCAUUUCUCUGUAAUAAUGGCUACUUAAAUAAAUGACUUUGAUUAUGAUA